rnacentral:rRNA from 1 species
GCGUAAAGCGCACGCAGGCGGUCUGUCAAGUCGGAUGUGAAAUCCCCGGGCUCAACCUGGGAACUGCAUCCGAAACUGGCAGGCUAGAGUCUUGUAGAGGGGGGUAGAAUUCCAGGUGUAGCGGUGAAAUGCGUAGAGAUCUGGAGGAAUACCGGUGGCGAAGGCGGCCCCCUGGACAAAGACUGACGCUCAGGUGCGAAAGCGUGGGGAGCAAACAGGAUUAGAUACCCUGGUAGUCCACGCCGUAAACGAUGUCGACUUGGAGGUUGUGCCCUUGAGGCGUGGCUUCCGGAGCUAACGCGUUAAGUCGACCGCCUGGGGAGUACGGCCGCAAGGUUAAAACUCAAAUGAAUUGACGGGGGCCCGCACAAGCGGUGGAGCAUGUGGUUUAAUUCGAUGCAACGCGAAGAAC